ensembl:lncRNA
GAAUCCAGCAGUGCCUCCGAAGCCCAAAUGACUUCAGAUCCCGUCUGCAGCAGGUGGCAGGCUUUUCUGGAUUUGGUGGCUCCUGUGGCCUUUGUGGCUCCUGUGGCUUUUGUGGCUUUCAUGGCUUUUGUGGAACAUUCCUUUCCUGUUGGUCCCUGGUAACCUGGCAUGUGUUAAAUCCCAAAUACUCUUUUUAUCUUUAAUGACGUUUAAUUUGAGUGGGGUCAACAUAAAUCUAUUGAAGGUUGUAGAACAUUUAUUUAAAGUGAUAUUUGUGCAAAAUAUACGUCCUGAGCAGAAGAGAUUUUUCGACCCUCUGUUCUCAGCUAGGAAGGGAUCUGAAUAAAGUAAGGCCAGGUGCCCACCCAGGAAAACACUUGGCUUUCAGCUGUGUCACUGUUUUCCAUGACUCCUGCUUUUAGUGGGGAAGGAGGGCUGUGGCCUUCCAGUGCUCGGCUGUGGUUUGCAGGCGUCCAUGUCAUCUGCACCUGCAGCCCAGGCUACUGCCACGCCCAGCAAGCCAUCUUCCUGCACCUCAGACGACGCUAAGAUCCCUCCUCUCCCAUGUAGAACAUUGUGGCAAGGAAGCCUGGUUUCUCUUCGCGUUGCUUGUCAGCCCACUGCUGUGAAAGUGCGUCCUUAUCUGAGUCACCGCUGCAUGGAAGCGGACUUGCUGCUCUCCAGAAACCAGGAACGCUGGCGGUAGAUUCGAAUGCUGGGGCUUAAUCACCUAAAGGAAAGAGUGCAGGUUAGAGAGGGACGUGAGUGCUUCCGUGGAAAGGGCUUGGAUGGAACGGAAGGGCCGCUGGGACACCAUCUCCCUAAAGUCAGGGACCACCUCUGUCCCGCUGGCCAUGGUGAGAGCACAUGUUUGAGCACAUGGUGAGAGCACACAGCUGUUUGUGAAAUGAGAGAAUGAAUGAAUAAACGAGCGCGUGAAUCAUGGUGACAGAAAGGUCACUGGAGAGGACGGUGCUGAUGAAUGAGGAUGACGACACGCAGAUGGAUCCGUCUCUGUCCUCCGCGCCCCACGCCCCGCGCAGGCAGAACUGCUGCUGUCCACAGACAUGUCUGGGAACACCUGGCUGCAGGGCAGGAAGCUGAGACAUUCUGCCUCCUCUGGAUUGUCCUGCGUGUGACGAGGGGUCCUCACUAAGCUGUCUUCUAACUAUAUUGGAUGUAGGGAGAAGACACAUUAUGUGUUUUUGAAAUUCAGCAAAUGCUUUUUAAAAAAGAGGGAUUCUCCAUUUUUAAGAGGUUCUCUCUGCUCAAAUAAACUCCAAAUGUUGAACUGGGCUGGCCUCACAUUCCUGUGAAUAACAAUAAUAAUAAUUGUAUUUAUUUAUUUUUUCUGUUAAAAAGAAAAAACAGAAAUCUUAAGUGAUCUUAUUUCUCUUCAAAGAGCAAAACAGCUUUGCAGGCAAGGUUUGGAGCCAACUCCAAAGGGUCGUCGAGAGCACGGCCGUGUCCCCGCACACGCCCUGUCCUUGGCGAGGCUCCUGCUGAAGCCUGGCCUCCGCGCCCUCUCUGUCCUCCUCAGACCCUGGUCUGGCUCCAGCCGCCUCCAGCACUGUGUGCCUGGGCCCCCUUCUGCCUUGCGCCAUCCCCCAGGGUGCCCCCUGGGCUCUCCUGCGCACAGACUGAGGGAUGUCCCCUCCCACCCCAGCAGGUUACUUAACCCUCUCUUUAGUAAAUAGAAAAAUAGAUCCUGCCUCAUAAGAUGCUUCUAAAAAUUGAAUAGUAAAG